ensembl:lncRNA
UUUAAGAGCUGAGUGUCACUAGGGAAGGUUCUCUCUCUGAAGAUUGUUCUUCUUGGAGUCUUUUCAGUGAGCCCAGGACACAGGGAAUCAUUUCAUCAAAAAAGGACCACAGGUUUCACUCAAGCUCUUAACAGUGGUCUAUGGAAGGAACAGAGAAAGGAAGUUUUAUAUAGGGAUUAUGUUCCUGUUUUCUCUCUUCUCCUCAUAAGAGAUCUUAAUUCUCCUCACUAAUGUUCAUGAGCUUCAAGCCCUGCCCAGCAGUCCCAAACAUCUCCCUGGGUCAUCCACCAAGAUCACAUCAGCUGCAGCUCCCUUGGAGGGGAGCAUAGUGUGUCCACAUGGCAUGGGGAAAACCUCCACAGACAUCACCACUGCACUCACAGCACAGAUUUUAUCACAGCACAGUCCUUUUUUUUUUUUUUUUUACUUUUAACAAUGAUUUCGUCUUUACUUCUUAAAGCGCAAGCAAGGAUAGAAAGAAGGGUGACUUAGAAAUCAUUUAAUUACCUUCUGCCUUGUUUUCUUACUCUUUGUGAAGUUUUGGAAGGGAAAUAGGGCCAAAUUUUCUUAUCUUUUUAAGCUAAGAGUAGUUGCUGUCUUUUUCUAUCUCUUUCCAGGACUAUUCUAGUGUAUAAUUUGAUAAUAGCCUGCUAUUGCAGUGACCUCGAAGAAAGCUCUUCCUGUUUUAGUCUUCUAGUCUACUACUGAAGAUCUGACCGGCUAUAUUAGAAGCUUGAGGGAGGUGAAGAAGUAGAUUCUUCUGAACAUCUCCACCAGCACCAACAUCAGGCAUGCUUCCACAAUCCCACUGUCUUCUCUAACAGCAGGUUUUAUUUCCAAAACUUUCUGUAACAUCAUGGAGAACUUUUGAAUGCUCUUUACUUGCCAUCCAUAAGGACUGUGAGGCAGUUCUCAGAGCAAAUUUCAGUGGUGUUCAGCUCUUGUAUUUAUCCACCCAAGCACAUCAUAGGGAGGCUCUGCACAAAACCGGAAAUGUGACUGGCUGCAGGCUACUCCAUGGCUCUGUGGACCAUGCGAAAGGCAACAGCAGCAGUGAGAGGUACAAAAUCUUCUCCUUUGUGCAGUAUCUGCAUCUCUAAACCACUGACACAAGUGUUGUGACUGUGCUGAGCAGUCGGCCACCUUCAACACCUCUGCCUGCUAGGAGGAGCUAUCCCAGCCCUUCCCUCUACCCUAAACCCCCGAUGGUCUCCUCCAGUCCUUUUGGAGAGUCAGUGUGAAGUACUGACCAGGAGACAGGGAGAAUCUCUUUCCUCCUUAAUCAGGGACCAUACUUGCUCCUUGGGAGGAUCAUAGAAUCAUAGGAACAUCAAAUUGUUUGAAUUGGAAGGGAACUUUUAACAGCCAUCUGGCUCAAUCCCCCUGCAAUGAACAGGGACAUCUACAGCUCCAUCAGGUGCUCAGAGCCUCCCUCAUACAGCCCGACCUUGAGUGUGUUCAUGGAUGGGGCAUCCACUGCCUCUCUGGCCAACCUGUGCCAGUGUUUCACUGCCAUUAUUGUUAAAAAAAAUUAAAAAAAUAAAGAAAAGUUUUCC